rnacentral:rRNA from 1 species
CGGGACGGGUGAGUAACGCGUGGGUAACCUGCCUCAUACAGGGGGAUAACAGUUAGAAAUAGGCUGCUAAUACCGCAUAAGACCACAGACUGCAUGGUACAGUGGUAAAAACUCCGGUGGUAUGAGAUGGACCCGCGUCUGAUUAGGUAGUUGGUGAGGUAACGGCCCACCAAGCCGACGAUCAGUAGCCGACCUGAGAGGGUGACCGGCCACAUUGGGACUGAGACACGGCCCAG